CACACAACCCCAGCAUAAAAAAAAACAGUAGGAGGUGCUUGGGCAACAAAAGGCAAUGCAUCAGGUGCAGUAGGCCUCUCUCUUUCUCAGUGAAAGAGUCCUCGGAGCUAUACGAAUACCAUCUAAUGCAUCAGUGAUAUUCUAUUGUGCACCAACGUCUAGACUCCUGUCUCCUCACAUCACCUUCAUUUAUGGACAACGCUCAGUGAAGAUGUCAAAAUGUCAAAAUUUUGUCAUACACUUUCAAGUGAUCUCACUAUAUUUAAGGCCCAGUAUAUUUAUCUCUAAGUUCACAGGAUAUUUGGAUCUGGAGUGCCGAAGUUGAUCCUCAGGAGUGAGGAAGACAUUAUGAACACUUAAUCGUUUCUGAUGAUUAAGGACCCUGAAAGAAAUACAGCAGCUGACGCAGGACAGAAGCCACUCAUCUCUUCCUGCUGACCCUCCGGCUUGCCCCGCUUAUGGUACGCUCAGUAGUUACACUGAUUCUAUUGUCACUCAGCCAAUAUUGUACACAGACAUAAACAAAGCACACUGUCCUAUUGAGCUGAAGUUAAUCUCCUGCAGGCCUCUGAACUCACAGUCACAGUUUCUCCUUUGUGUGACUGAAUACCCAUUUAGCCCCAUGGAGACACUUUUACUGUCCUGUGAGUCCCUCAUCACAUGUUUGUUUUUCAAUAUUUAUCAUUAAAUGAUCUAGAACAAGGGUGUACACAAUGUUUUAGUAAUAAUGAAUCAGUUUAUGGACAGUUGUAACAGGAAUUACUUACAGGAAUAGAAUAAGCACACAUUUCUGUACUUCUGUAUUUUCUCUUUUCUGGAGGAUAUUGCACAAUAAAGUCUUCCAAUAAAACUUUUGUUACACUCUGAAGCAACCCAUGUAGAAAGAACUUUCUGGGAUUUUUUCCAAUACAAAAGGACCAAAAGACGCUGCUGUCAGGAGGUAUGUUAAGCGGUGAUGAUGGAAGCAUACAUGCAGGGCCAUUUUUUAUUUUAUUUUAACUUGCCAUGGUUUUGGUAAAGACCAUUGUUUAAGUUACAUGCUGCCACAUCUAAAGGCGAUGACACAAGCAAACAUUUUACACCCACUUAUUCACACAGACAUUGUUUAACUUUAAAGGGUAACUAUAGUUCAUAAUAACAGUUUGCACAAAUGACCUUUGUGGUUGUUUCAUGAGGACAGCCUCUCAGAUGAUGACCCUACAGUUCCAAUAUGUGACCCCACAGUAUGCUGGUGUGACUGACAUCUGUACACAUAGGGUCUACUGGACUUUGCACGAUCAUUAGUCAUAGCCAACACAGCAUUAAACAAUUUUAAGUUUCAGGAACUCCUGAAAACUAUCAACAAAAGAACACAAUUAAAGCAAUGUAAAUUCAAACUUAUUAUGUGACGCUUUAAAUGCUAAAAUAAAACAAUUCACGGCCUCCAACAUGGCCUAAACUAAGCAUUUAAAAUAGGUGGGGUACUUGCUGUGGGGAGUACAAAAGCAUUCCAACCACCAUGUGAUUACAUGUCCGUUUGUACCACAACGUACUGCAACCCAAAAGGGCAAAAUCUUUCAAAAGUUUCAAGUGACCGCCAUCUUUGAGGCCCAUGUGCUGUACGCAAGGAGCAGUGAAGAAACCACAAUUACUUACCACAGCAUUUCCACUGGUUAGAAAAACAGAGAGAGAAACACACUUAAACAGACAGUUGCUUCAUAACCUUAAUAAAGUUCUCAUUGUAAUUAAUUAAAAAAAAGCAAAAAGUGAACGAAGAAACCUUAUCUCACAGAAAAACCCCAACUAAAUCCAUUUCAAAUGUAUGUCAAGCAGCACGUAUGAAGUAAAACGCAGUUCUUCUUCUUUUUCUUGGUUUAUUGGUGGUUGGCAACUAGGUUAGAGGUGCAUUACCACUACCUACACUAGUGACGGCGUCUCUCCAAAAAGGUCUUCUGAGGUAAAAUUAAUCUUCAGUUCCUUUAGAGUUCCUAAAAAAAUUUCAUUUCCUCAUUGCCAGUGUGACACUUCUCAAAUUAAAGACAAAUUCUCAUUUGAUGAUGGUGUUUUUGAGGCUGAAAUAUUGCAAACGCAAUUCCUCUUUUGCCCUCUAUCAAGAUGCUCUACUACAAAGGGAGUUCAGUAUACCCAAGGUAUCUUUCCGUUAUUAUUAAUAUUAUGUCCUAAAUGACUGAAAUAAUACCUGGACAUUCCCAUGACGGAUGAUCUGAUAUUGUCGUGUUGGUGUUGUUCCCAGAUGACAAUGAGGCACACAGUUCGUGCUUUAUUCAGUGGCUUCAAUAAGGUAUGGUGUAACAGCCUGCACCUAUAAAAAGUAUACUCCCAGAAGAGAGUCUAUAUCACACCUAACUCAGAACAUAACCUGCUCAGGGUAGUUUUAGUUUUC